AAUAGUCAUCUUUUUUACACUAAUGGAACAUAGCUAAGUGUAGAUGAAAUGCAUAUAAUGUCACUAACUACCAAUCAGCGACAUUAAUCCGCUAAUAACCUUCUUGCUCUACGUACUGGCCGCUGAGAGUUUGCGGUUCAUAUUUGAUUAGAAUAUGACUUGGACAGGGAUAGGUUUAUGCCAUACAUUGAAGAACCAGUCAAAUAAUACACGUAUAAUAAUUUAAUGCAGAUUAAAAGAUAACUAGUUAAAAUGUUGUUGUGAAAUGACAGACUAACUCAACAUAAGUAAAUAUAUCAUUGUUGUAUAAAUGUAUUCCGCUAUAGUAGGUGCAACAGAUAUUCGGUAUUCGGCCGGUAGGCAACAUUGAGUCGAAUACCGAAUAGGUACCUAGUUGCCGAAUAUUCGUGGUAUCUCUACUCAUAACCCUGAGAUCUACCGGGAAAAUAGAUAUUUCGUUAUCUGAAGCUCGAACAUAUGGAUGAUAAAUGAUUUGGAUAUCGGUAAAUCCUGGACGUAAUUUGUAGACGAUAGAUACUACGAGCGCCCAUAAUCUACCUGAUUUAUUUGUGGAUUUAGAUAUAUGACUUU